ensembl:miRNA
AAUAGCUCAGGAUGUCACUUCUGUUUUAGAUAACAGAAUUGAUAACUGAGCAAGGAA